CUGGGCAAUACUCAUCUCCGAGUAAUUUUUCACCACGAAAAUGUUGCAGUCUUCAGCUUUAUGGUUACAGUUUUAGUUUAAGGCUUUAAGUUAGUCUACUCAAAUUAAUACUCACCAACUUUUUGAUUAAUUUCUUCCCCAAAUUCCCAAAUUUAUUGAAAACCCUAAUUCCAAAUUUUACUAAAAUUCUGUUGAAAUCAAGUACUAUAAUGGCGGAAGAAGCUGGUUCCCAGCCCAGCUCACUGCUAUUGUUACCCCAGCAACAAGAAUACUCUCAAAGUAUCCCUGAGCAUUUGCUGUACAAGAAUCGCUUGCAAGAGUAUGCUCAAAAGGCAAACAUACCAUUACCAGUUUAUCGUACCAUAAACAAUGGAGGAGCUUCACAAGCUCCAAGAUUUACGUCUACUGUUGAGAUAGAUGGAGAAACUUACACAUCUAUGGACACACUUACUAACAGAAAGGCAGCUGAGCAAGAUGCUGCAAAGCAUGCGUUGGAAGGAAUAUCUAAGAAGAUAAAGAAUUGUAUAUCCAAGAAGACAACUGAAGGAGGAUUUCCUCCUAUUUUUCAGGAUAAGGUAUUUUGUAAGUCUAUUCUUCAUGAGUUCGCAGUGAAAAUGAAUAUAGAAAAGCCCAAGUAUGAUACUGUGAAGUCGGAGGGGCUUAUUCCUGUUUUCAUUUCCACUUUGGAAUUCAGAGGGGUAAGGUAUGUUGGUGAAGCUAGUGUAAACAAGAAAGAGGCUGAGCAGUUAGCAGCACGUGCUGUUAUUUUAUCCAUUUUAGCAACUGAAGAAGGAAUGCAUCUGUCAGAGAUUAUCAAAUCCAAAGCUAAACUUUUUUCUGCAGUGCAUGAACAUAUCCAUUCAAAUGCAGAUACAUGUGUAACCUCUUUGCAGCCAAAUUUCAGAAUCGCCCUUGGGCCUUCUGCAAUCCAAGGAGAUGCUGAAGGUACUUGUCAAGCUGGUGAGAUUGUGAAGGUUGCUGAAUUAGCCGUACCAGACCAAUCAAGCAAAAAGGAAGAUAAUGCUGACCAAGCUAGUAAUACUCUUGGGAAUGUUGUUGAAUUGGCCCUCCCAGAGCAAUCAAGUGAAAAGGAAAAAGUCACUGACCAAUCUAGUAAUGGGAUUGGAAAUGUUCUAUUGAAUGUUCUCCAGGGACAGUCUCAUAUUCUACCCAGACAUGAAUUUAGAAAGCCAGUACUAGAGACAUAUACUGAACCAGUUCCGCCUACAAUUGAAUUUAUAUCUUCACUUGGGGAAAGAACUCCUUUAGAUGCAUCAGAUAGUGUGGGGAAAAGGAAGAGUAGAAAGAAGAAAAAGGCUAACAAGAAAGCCAAAACUGAGAUACAGUCACAGAUCUGUGAGUCUGAUAUUCAGUUCCAAAAUGAACUAAUUUGUCAAUGUCUACUACAAACUUUUUCUCCUGAGUUGUAAUAAUUGUUGUUGAGCUCCCAAUACCGUCUCUUCUUUUAAAGGGCGGGGGUAGGCUCUCUCUACUUCAAGCUUGUGCUGCUUUCAUGUGUGCAUGACAUAUGCUGUUGACUAAUAACAUGUAAUACUGGUAUUGAAACUUUGUUGUAUUUGAAGACAACUCUCGUACAAGUGGAGCCUGAUAGAGUUAUAUGAAUGCGAGUAGACUUGCCGAUGUGCUUGCAUUUUGUCAAAUGAUACCGAGAUUAACAACUGGUAUAGUCUGCCCCAAUUACUACAUUGUGUAUUUAAAGUUCCUAUGAUGAUGUUCCAUCUUUUGUUGUAUAUAUUAGGAACUAUGCCUCAAAUAGUGGCAAGCAAUUAGCUUUUUCUUUGGCUUGGGAUCUUGUAUGUGGCACUGUGGCUGACCAACUUUUGUAACAAACAAGCAAUAUCUUGUAAUUUUAAAUGUGUUGUUUUAGACCAUAAAUCCAAUCUUGUUUUGUGCUUA